UAGGGAAUCUUCGGCAAUGGACGGAAGUCUGACCGAGCAACGCCGCGUGAGUGAAGAAGGUUUUCGGAUCGUAAAGCUCUGUUGUAAGAGAAGAACGAGUGUGAGAGUGGAAAGUUCACACUGUGACGGUAUCUUACCAGAAAGGGACGGCUAACUACGUGCCAGCAGCCGCGGUAAUACGUAGGUCCCGAGCGUUGUCCGGAUUUAUUGGGCGUAAAGCGAGCGCAGGCGGUUAGAUAAGUCUGAAGUUAAAGGCUGUGGCUUAACCAUAGUAGGCUUUGGAAACUGUUUAACUUGAGUGCAAGAGGGGAGAGUGGAAUUCCAUGUGUAGCGGUGAAAUGCGUAGAUAUAUGGAGGAACACCGGUGGCGAAAGCGGCUCUCUGGUCUGUAACUGACGCUGAGGCUCGAAAGCGUGGGGAGCGAACAGGAUUAGAUACCCUGGUAGUCCACGCCGUAAACGAUGAGUGCUAGGUGUUAGGCCCUUUCCGGGGCUUAGUGCCGCAGCUAACGCAUUAAGCACUCCGCCUGGGGAGUACGACCGCAAGGUUG
rnacentral:rRNA from 1 species